AACACAAGUCCUAACAAUCCUAACACCCAAUGGUCUAAAAGUCCUAAUAACUCCUAACAGGUCCGAACGGGGCAAAGCAACCAUUGGCCGAAACAUAAUCACGUGCGAACCAAAUGUUUACAGUUAUAAAAGCGGAAGUUCGUGGAUGACUAGUUUUCAAGGUUAAGGCGAAUUUUAGUCAGUUUGACGUUUUAGGAUAACUUGGAGAUCUUCAACAGAUGCCUGCUUCAAAUGCUCCACCAUCAUCCCCGGCCUAAAGAAACCCAAGAUGACAGGACAUAAUGACUGCAGACCCUUGCUGAUUAGAAGUCUCCAUCGUGUGCUUUAAGAUGGAGCAGAAUUUACUACACAGAGUGGUAAUUCAUUGACAAGCUAUGCAAUAUCACAGGCAAUUUAUCUGAAAAUCAACAGAACCGGCUUUACUGACGAGAUGCUCAUGACAAUCUCAUGCGAGUUAUCGUGCAGCCCUACUCUACACCAACAACUGCACUGCUACAGACCUGAGGUCUUCAGACUGCCGAGAGGAUUAUUGGUGCUCCCCUACCCACCUUUCAAGAACUGUCCAAUAAAAAAAAAUAAAAAAAUUUGAAACUUCAAAAUCACUUUGGAUCCCUCAGAUCCAAACUAUCUCCUUUUUUAACUUUUGACAUCUGGCCGGCACUACAGAGCACCGAAUACCAGAACAGAUAGACUCAAGAGUUUAUUGUCUGCUGACAAUCUACCUUAUGAACAGUUAAAAUCCUCCCAUCAUGCAAUAAAAAUAUGUGCAAUAACCUUAUAUUUUAUUUGUUACCACCCCAUAUCUUAGUACAUCUCAUUCUAUUCCAUUCCUAUUCUAUCUAUAUCACAACUGUACAACUGCACAACAAAUUCCUUGCACGCUCAAGCAUACUUGGAAAUUUAGCUCUUUCUGACUUCUGAUUAUUAUGUAUGCAUGUCAUAUUUGAGCUUUUGGAAUAAACUGUAUUUGUGGAAGUUA